UCGCGCGGUUCGUCCUCGGGGGGCUCGCCGUUCAACAGGGCGCGCACACGGUCGGGUUCGAUCCCCGUCGCGCGGG
rnacentral:tRNA from 1 species